ACAGCGCUGAUGCAUUCGCGCUUUUAAAUGUAGUUAAAACGCGUUUAUUAGAACAAACCUCUUACCGCCUCGGUAGCUCGUGCCCUUGCUGCACUACCGGGCCAUCCACACACUCGGAAACGGCGUGUGUCGCAUUGUCUGCAUGCUCACCAACAUGGCUCCUAACCAUCAGCAUAACUCACGAUCGUCGUCAGCCAUGCUCAGUCUACUGCUGGAUGAAGGAUCAAAACGCCCUCAAGAGAUUCCACUCUCAGCGUCGAC